rnacentral:lncRNA from 1 species
ACCGACUCUCUUUUCGGACUCAGUCCGCCUGCACCCGGGUGAAAUAAACAGCCAUGUUGCUCACACAAAGCCUGUUUGGUGGUCUCUUCACACGGACGUGCAUGAAAUUUGGUGCCGUGACUCGGAUCGGGGGACCUCCCUUGGGAGAUCAAUCCCCUGUCCUCCUGUUCUUUGCUCCACGAGAAAGAUCCACCUACGACCUCAGGUCCUCAGACUGACCAGCCCAAGGAACAUCUCACCAAUUUUAAAUCAGCACACAGGAACUUCCAAAUGCCUGAACCGCAGCGGCCAGGCUCCUCCAGAACCUCCUCCCACAGGAGCUUGCUACAUGUGCCAGAAAUCUGGCCACUGGGCCAAGGAAUGCCUGCAGCCCGGGAUUCCUCCUAAGCCGUGUCCCAUCUGUGUGGGACCCCACUGAAAAUCGGACUGUUCAACUCACCUGGCAGCCACUCCCAGAGCCCCUGGAACUCUGGCCCAAGGCUGACUGACUCCUUCCCAGAUCUUCUCGGCUUAGCGGCUGAAGACUGACACUGCUUGAUCGCCUCGGAAGCCCCCUAGACCAUCACAGACGCCGAGCUUCCGGUAACUCUCACAGUGGAAGAAGGCAGGAAUGUCAGGCCUCUGAGCCCAAGCCAAGCCAUGGCAUCCCCUGUGAUUUGCACAUGUACGCCCAGAUGGCCUGAAGUAACUGAAGAAUCACAAAAGAAGUGAAUAUGCCCUGCCCCACCUUAACUGAUGACAUUCCACCACAAAAGAAGUGUAAAUGGCCAGUCCUUGCCUUAAGUGAUGACAUUACCUUGUGAAAGUCCUUUUCCUGGCUCAUCCUGGCUCAAAAAGCACCCCCACUGAGCACCUUGCGACCCCCACUGCUGCCUGCCAGAGAACAACCCCCCUUUGACUGUAAUUUUCCUUUACCUACCCAAAUCCUAUAAAACGGCCCCACCCCUAUCUCCCUUCACUGACUCUCUUUUCGGACUCAGUCCGCCUGCACCCGGGUGAAAUAAACAGCCAUGUUGCUCACA